UAGGGAAUUUUCCACAAUGGACGAAAGUCUGAUGGAGCAACGCCGCGUGCAGGAUGAAUGCUUUCGGGUUGUAAACUGCUUUUAUAUGUGACGAUUAUGACGGUAGCAUAUGAAUAAGGAUCGGCUAAUUCCGUGCCAGCAGCCGCGGUCAUACGGAAGAUCCAAGCGUUAUCCGGAAUUACUGGGCGUAAAGAGUUGCGUAGGUGGCAUAGUAAGUAGGUAGUGAAAGCCUGGGGCUCAACCCUUUAAACAUUAUCUAAACUGCUAAGCUAGAGGGCGAGAGAGGUAACUAGAAUUCCUUGUGUAGGAGUGAAAUCCGUAGAUAUAAGGAGGAAUACCGAUGGCGUAGGCAGGUUACUGGCUCGUCCCUGACACUAAGGCACGAAAGCGUGGGGAGCAA
rnacentral:rRNA from 1 species